GUAGAGCGGCGGCACGGGGUACUUGUACCUGGUGGCGAGCGGCGGACGGGUGAGUAAUGCCUAGGAAUCUGCCUAGUAGUGGGGGAUAACGUCCGGAAACGGGCGCUAAUACCGCAUACGUCCUACGGGAGAAAGUGGGGGAUCUUCGGACCUCACGCUAUUAGAUGAGCCUAGGUCGGAUUAGCUAGUUGGUGAGGUAAUGGCUCACCAAGGCGACGAUCCGUAACUGGUCUGAGAGGAUGAUCAGUCACACUGGAACUGAGACACGGUCCAGACUCCUACGGGAGGCAGCGUGGGGAAUAUUGGACAAUGGGCGAAAGCCUGAUCCAGCCAUGCCGCGUGUGUGAAGAAGGUCUUCGGAUUGUAAAGCACUUUAAGUUGGGAGGAAGGGCAGUUACCUAAUACGUGAUUGUUUACCGACAGAAUAAGCACCGGCUAACUCUGUGCCAGCAGCCGCGGUAAUACAGAGGGUGCAAGCGUUAAUCGGAAUUACUGGGCGUAAAGCGCGCGUAGGUGGUUUGUUAAGUUGGAUGUGAAAGCCCCGGGCUCAACCUGGGAACUGCAUCCAAAACUGGCAAGCUAGAGUAUGGUAGAGGGUGGUGGAAUUUCCUGUGUAGCGGUGAAAUGCGUAGAUAU
rnacentral:rRNA from 1 species